AGGCUGUAAGCAUAAACCAUGAAAUUUACGAUCUUUCAACUCCAAAAUUAUAUUCUAAUAAGAGCCCCCUAUUUCUAAUUUUGAGAGCACCCUGGGUGCUUAUAACGUCGAAUACGGUAUUAAAGGGUUCAUUCAUGAGUACUGGUCCCCAGGCACCUGUUCUGGUUGUACGAGGCGACUUCAUGGAUCAGGUGGUCAGACUGGGUGACUUGGUUGAUGGUGUGUCAUUGUAUCCCAACGGCGUAGAUCGUUCCUGGUUCACAAUGUCAAUCACUGGACUGUCUGGUCCAGACUCAAUUAUUUACAGGCUGUCGUCAUACACAUAUAGCUGGAAUAUUGCUGAGUGCGGCAAUAAACAACAAAAACAGACACCGUUCUGUUAAUCAUACCCAAGUUUGAUCUGUGACAAGAGAAUCUGUUUCUUUGAUUCCAAAAUGUGCGCAAUAGUACAAGCUCUACAAUCAGGCUGACUCCCAGUCGGCCUGCUUCUGCCUCGGGUUUUGAAAUGCACAUCUUUUCUCUGUCUGCUCAUCCAUUUGAUUACCGUGUCCACAACUUCCGUCACCUUAGUAACAACACUGAAGAUGCCUUCAGUUGUUUACUCCGGGGAUUAAUCCCUGACCGGCGUUUAUUGUGAGCAAUAGGGCUGUGGGCAGCUGGUGUAUUAUAGCCCCCAACAGAUUCCCGGGUAGAAUAGGUCUUCAGCAACCCAUGCUUGCCGUAAAAGGCUUUAGGCCACGCCCCCAAAUAGGUUGGUUUUGGAAGGCCGAUUACAGAGCAUGUUUUUGUAGCACUUUCACUUGGACAUUUAAAUACAUUCUACGAAUGUUAUUAAUUUUUCGAAUUUUUUUCGAAAAUUGAUUGUAUCAAGGAAAAUUAAUAUUUGCAAAAGAAUCGCAAACAUUUUUUUCACUUUACGAGCCCUUUAAAAUUAAGCGUCAGGAUGCAAUCAUACCAUUGGAAGGGGUGAAGCCAGACUACUUCACUCUCUGUUUAGGAUGUCGUAGAUCAAGGGACCAAAUUGUGUGUCACAUCUUUAGACACAAACAUAUUAAAUACCAUGCAUGCGUAAUGUGGUAGUGCAUUGAUCAGUUUGAAACAAAAAUGUAUUAAUAAUGAAAUCUUUUUAAAAUAUUCCCUUGAAGGGAAAUGUUUUUAAUUAUACAACCAACUGCUGGCUAGUCAAGUACAAUUUAUUUGUGUUUCAAAGGAUUUAUUUUGUGUUUCAAAGGAUUUGUUUUUCUGUAAUGAAGAUGCAUUCAUCUCUGUAACCAUGGCAACAAUAGAUGUAUUAACUCCCCUUCCUUGUUAAGCUAACAUGACUUAUUGUGUGCAAUAUUUACGAAUAUUUAAGGUAAUAAAAAAAGGUAUCAUACUGAUUGAUUAAUUUAUCAUUUUCUAAGAAAUAUAUCAUAUUAGAAGUGAAUGAAAACAGAUAAAAUUGAUGAACCAUGUUGUACCAGUUUGUGAUAGAUUUUCUAAGCGACCUUGCCACAACAUCCGAACACAAUGACAGGUUACGUGAUGGUCAGUUACCAAGUUGAAUAAUUAAUGUAUAAUCUGUAACAAAACAUGCCAGUUUAUGUAAUUUUGAAAUUGCCAACUUAAGAAAACACAGGUGUUGAUCCAGGAUAAGUGCAGGGGUUGGUAGCCUUUCUCACAGUCCCUCAACCAUAUUACCGUAUCUCCCUUUUUGCCCAGCUCUUACUGUAAUACUUAAGCCCUAAAUAAAGUCUAGAUUUUCCUCAGAUUCAGGUGCUUAAUCUCCUAUCUCUCUGGGGCUCCUUUUCAGUUUAAAUGGAGUUGCUUGUUUCUAUCAAAAUUAUGUAUUUUCAGAAACUAAGCUUUAGUCUAACAUGUCGAGGGGGUGGGCACCCUCAUUAUUGAAUCAUAUUUGACAUUUAUAUAUUGUAAGUUUUAAACAUGAUUUAGGUGAUAGGUUUGUAGGUAAACAUAUUACGACACUAUAACACAUUUUUUUGGAUGUUUCAAUGAAAAUAUCAAAAGUACCAAACACAAUUUUAUUCAAAGAUUUUUAGCAUUCAUAUAGUACUAUUAUGUUGGUACUUGUGAUCACAGAAUAUAUCCUACAUUUUCCAGAUAGCUGCAUCCAGGCUUGUGAUAACGGUUUAUUUGUGUGUUUUUUUCCCGAAAGAGGACGUCAUUGCUUUGAUGUAGAAGGGCUGAAAAGUAUUUUCAAUCAAACGCAGCAUUAAUAGGGGCAAUCUAAUCUAUGUUAUUCAUUAAACAAGAACUAAAUAUUGCUUGGCGUAAUCAUGUCUGUCAGAUUUGUAAGCUACUCUUUUCCUUCAGGCCUUAUAAUUUUUUUAAUGGGUUUUUAAGACAAUUGUAAAUUUAGAGAAAAAUAAUGUUAUUUAUUUUUGUCACCACUGUCAUAAAGGAAUUGUGAACAUGGUGAAUAAUAUCAUACAGAUCUUUAUUCUUACAAAAAAAAAUAUCAGUUAUCUUUUGAUAUCAGCCAUGUUUGUUUUUCAACCAUCAGUUGCAGUACUCACCAGGAAGUAGAAUUGUUUUAUUCAUUUUUUCCAACCACAUACAUUAAAUUUUCGGUAAAUGAUAAAUAUAAAAAAUGAAAGGACUUACCAAUGUAUAUACUAACCAUACUUAUGUUUACAGCAUUUAAAAUGUUUAUGAUUAUGCACUGUAAAUGUUUAGAUGAUAUUGUCAGCAUUUACCUCAUUAAACAGACUUUGAUAAUUUGAUAAUUUCUUUCACUUUAAUGUUUUAAAAAACAAAGAAAUAAUUUAUGUCAUUUGUAUUUAAGGCUUACGGCUGCUCUUGUGAAUAGUAGUUAGAUAUGUCUUGCUGGGUUUUACAUACAUGUAUUCCUCGUUGAGUCAGAAUUUAGCGCUACAUCUCGCUACAAAAAUACAUGUUUGCUGUUCACAGAAACCACAAGCAAGAACUUCUUGCAUUAAAUCAUUUUUUAUUUCCGGGUACAAGGCAAACACAUUUUCACAACACAAGAAAAAUGCCUCCACCUCCUUAUUGCAUUGGGGAUAUUACAUGAAAUUCUGUUUCCUUCUUAUUGCAUUGGGGAUAUUACAUGAAAUUCUGUUUCCUUCUUAUUGCAUUGGGGAUAUUACAUGAAAUUCUGUUUCCUUCUUAUUGCAUUGGGGGUGUUUACACAGGUUGUGCUUGAUUACCAAGGUAGUGCUUGAUUACCAAGGUUGUGCUUGAUUACCCAGGUAGUGCUUGAAUAAACAUUAAAUUCACAAUGUACUGGAUCUUUGUAAGUCAUCAUUUUCCUAUGAUAGAGAUUUUUCCUAAGUCUAGAUUCUCUGAUUGGAAACUGGUUAUUAAAGUUAAUUACCAUACUUCAUUUUCACCACUAGUUUGCCUUUUUAUGAAAAUAACAAUUAAUUUAGAAUAAUGUUUGUAUAUAUAUCAAGUGGUGGAUAUAUCUUCUUCUCUAUCUUUUGACCAGCCCUUCUCAGGUAUAACUCGACAUAAUCACUUGCAGUCUUUGCAUUUACCAGAAAAUAUACUGUUUGUGUUUACAUUGAAUUGUCUUAAGCUUAUCUGCUUAUUUUCCAAAUGUUGACUUUUCUCUUGUUUAAUUUUACACAUUUUAUCACAAUUAUGUGUCAAGAUUUCAGAUGACAUUUUGUUUUGUAGUUUACUCAGGUAAAAGUGAGGUUAACAAUAUCAUUUUGAAAAUGAAAAGUUAUGAUUUUAUGUAUUUGUUUUUGGUUGUAAAUGGCAUGUAACCAUGGUAACGCUAAGAGCUAAUGUUUUUUUAUAAUCUUGGUUGGAAUAGGCAAUGGCACAUUUUAGGUUGUCUUGGUUACAAAUGAUAUAGUUCGCCUGGAUAUAUUAUCCUCAUUAUCAUGAUUACGGUAUGUAUCAAGUUUUUGACUCAAAAGUAAACGAUUUGAACAUUUCAUUAUUUCAUCAUCUUUUGACAAGUUGGAGUUGCUGUGAUUUUUCUUAUCCAAUUUCCAUGACUGGGUUGUAGUUGUUCUUUACAGAUUGACAUAGGUGGUGGGAUAGUGGUUAAAGUGUUUGCUUGUCAUCCAAAGAACUGGGUUCAGUUCCGAAUGAGUACAGUGCAUCUUGGUGUUCCUAGCUAGAAAUGGUAUGAGACAAUUCUCACUCACUGAUCAUCAUACAGGUGUUACACAAGUGUAGUACGGCAGGGGUUUAUCAAUGAUUCCAAACUAAUUGACAAGUGACAAGUUUAUUUGCAAUUGAGGCCACAUGGUCCAAACUAAGUGUCCUUGGAAGGCAAAUUGAGACAUAAAUAUUAUUUUGUCCAAAUUAUUUUUAAUUAUGAUUCAAAGUUCUUAUAUUUAUUGGUAUUUUGACAUUGCAUUCAAUGACUAAAACUAAGCACUAACACCACUUCCUCUUUGUUGGCUCUUUUAUCCGUGAAGUACAAAUCACCUCAACAAACCCAUGACGUUAGUUAUAACUAUGAGAACUAGAACUGUGAAAUGUUCAAUUCAAAUGUGGGGAAUUGUACUGACAUUUGCUGCAGGCUGAAGCUGGUACAUUUAUAUUGUUGAUGGACAUCCCGUCUAAUGUUUUGUUCUGGGUUUACAGCCUUUGAAUACAGAUUCUCUCAGAGAAUAGUAUUCAUUAGACUUCCAAGCAAAUCUGGUGGGAAUGAAAUUAAGCAUUGUAAGGGUUUUAGGAAUGUUUAGUUACCUUGGUUUACAUUGAUAUGUAUGUUUUCAAACUGGAAAGGCAGGUAAAGUAAAGAAAAUUAUAGUGAGACAACACCAUUUAGCAUGUUUAACAUGGUUUGGGACUGCAGUCACAGGCGGAUCCAGAGGAGGGGUCCAGGGGGUCCACUGAGGACUCAGGUUCGAUUCCCACAUGGGUACAAUGUGUGAAGCCCAGUUCUGGUGUCCCCUGCCAUGAUAUUGAUGGAAUAUUUCUAAAAGCGGUGUAAAACCCUACUCACUCACUUAACUGGUCAGCAUAACUGCCCCUUGCCUCUAUGGUUGUGCUGACAUGAAGCAUCUCAUAUACUUACUCUUUGUUGAAUAAUAUACACUAGUACAUUCCAUUGCUCUGAUGUCUUACCCCUGGAUAUGUUGUUCAAUAUGCCCUCAACCAGAACAUCAUCUGACUUGGUGUGUGUUGAAGGAUCAAGUAUUUAUAUUACACUACUAGCUGUAUGUCCUGUAUAUUAAGAAGUUUUAUCUGUUGUAAGUUUUAUUACCUAUCUAAAAAACACAAUGUUUUUGUUUACAAUGUUUAAAGUAAUCCUCUGUUGUCAAGGGUAAUAAAUCUUUCAGGGUAAAUAAUCUGGACCACCACCAUACCUUGAGUGCUUAAGAUCCCAGUGCUAAAAAUAGAUUUCCAAUCAAACUGCACUGUUCUUUCAGGAUUGAAACAAGAGGUGAUAUCACCAAUUCUUGAUUUGACUUUUGCUUGCCAUCACAUCUGGAACGACUUGUAGUAUGACGAUUUUUCUUCCCUAUCUGAGUACUGAAACAUCUUAUCUAAAAAUUCUUUUAUUAGUCUCGCAUUCAGUGUUCAGAAGAGGCAUUUUGAUGACUUAGUACUCAGGAAGACAUCUUGUCUGGCUUAAAUAUGAUUUAUAACAGUCUUGUUAUUCGUUAAAAUACAUAUUUAGAAUUGCAGUUGUGAAUUUAGAUCUAUGCCGAAUGUAUGUUCAGAAGAGCCAAUUCGAUUGGUUGUUGAUUUCAAGGUUAAAAACGAGAGAAAUUCUGUGCCAAGUUAGUGAUAGACAGAUGGAUCUGGUGACAUCCUUCCGAAAUGAAAUGUGGUAAUCUGAAUGAUUCCCCGAGAACAUGCUGAAGCAGCUCCCUGUAGAUUACAAGAGUUGUGAUGCAUUGUUUAAUACAGAACCCAUGUUGAGCUGGAACCCUUAUCAGGGAUGUGCUGAAAUGCACCAAUGAUGUUCAAAUUUUACAAAUGUAAUACUACUUAUUUCAAGACAACUCAAGCCGUUUCUAUUUGUCCACUCGGCAGAAUUUCCCGUUUCAUUGUUUUGUAUAUUACAUUUUUGUUCACUGUUAUUCCUGUACAUAGUUUCUUGUGUCAAGUUCUCUUGGAAAGAUGUUUGCUUCCUAUGUACACAUAAGUCAGUGGUGUUGCAUAGAUCUUAUUGCAGUAGCCACAAGCACAUUGUAUAUACUUGUCCUGAAAUAUUCUGUUGAUAUUAUAUUUAAAAAAAUACGCUGAUGGUUUCAAAUAUGUCUUUACCAUAUUUGGCCCUAUUUGGUGUGUUGCAUUUUUUUUUAAUCGGGGGCAAAAUCAUAUGAACGCAACAUUUAGUAUUUUCAUUUGUACAACAAAAUAUUUAUACAUGAAUAUUCUAUGUUGUUAGUCAAACAGUAUAUUAUUGCUCGGGAUGAGCUAUGUUUUGCCUUUCAAUGGUAAAGUCACUUAUAAUGGAUACAUAGUUUUAGUUUUAUCUUAAAUCGUUGAACCUAAUUUGUAUUUGCCAAUAACAGAUGAAUGGUGGAUAUUGAGGAAAUAUUGUGUAAAACUCGCUCUCUGAGAUAAUUGUUAUUUCAUUGUGAAAAGACAAUUGUUGUGAAUGUGAUUGUCAGAAUAGCCAUGAUUUCAGAAUGCCAGCCAGUUAAAAAAAAUAACAUCGAUAAAUUGGAAACAAAACAGUGUUCAGAUAAUUUUUCUAAAAACUUUUUUUUUCUUAUUAAAACCGAAAUCUGAAUUAUUUUCAAGUAAAAAGUAUUAACAAUAAUCUUCAAGUUUGGACAUAUCCACCACCCAAAGCACAGUUCAAGUCAUCAUGAUUAUCAUACAUGUAAUCACUUGUGGGGGCACGGGUGGCCCAGACGUCUAAGGCGCAGCGAUUCGCUGUGCAGAGUUGCAUCCCUUGGGCACGCCAGAAACCUAUGAAUGUGGGUUCGAAUUCCGGUUCGCCCCAAUUAUGUUUCUAGGUAUGCCAGCACCGUACCCGUGCUCGUGGGAUUCUCAGACCUGUAUCACUUUGGGCUUUCCUCCCACAUUAAGCUGACACACGCAAUAUAACUGGAAUACUGUUAAAAGCAGCAUUAAACCCAACUCAUUCACUCACUGUAAUCACUUGUAUAUUGUAGUUUGAUAAGGUUAAGCCUGAUUCUGUGAGAACCAUGUGCAACUAUCAUGUAAAGUGCAGGCUGGUGUGCAGUAUUUAAUGUAACGUCAAUGACCUUCAGGUUGUGCAACUCUGGUCUUUGGUGAGUGUGCCAAGAAAGUACAGAAGAAACAAAUCAGUAAAUCGCUGGUGGUUGAUCGUGUUAGUGUUGCAGUGUUAAGGUGGUGGAGUCAUUGCUGGUUGUGGGGUACAUUGGGAUUAUUUUAUUAGUUGACAUAAUUCCCAUGUUUAGAUCCUGCAGAAGGUUGCCUGUCCCAGGGGUCCCAGGCACAGUCAGAUUUCCCAGGGCAGAAUAAUAGAUCCUCAGAAAAAACCGAUUGGUUGGUCACAAUGUGUGAUGUUACUGAUUGUGUCACAACUGCAUAGGUCCCCAAUACUCCAUGCUUGGGAUAAGAGUCACAUGUGGACAUGACCUGUCUCUACUGCUCCACACAAGGUCAAGUCAAAAUAAAAUUGUUUAUAGGGAGCACCACAGAGAUAGGGAGCACCACACUGCAGCUAAGAUAUCCCUGGAUUGAUAGGUUGCAGUAUCUGUGGGAUCUUGCUCAUGCUAUUGUCCACUGGUUUAACGUACUAGCACCAUUUUUUAUUGACAUGCUAUGGCAGUUAAACACACCUAGGAUCCCUGGGAAAGAUGACUGAUGGCAAUAUUUCCUUUACACAUAUAUAGAUAGACCCAUCCCAACAAUACACAAGACCCUACCCAACCAGAUUUUGCCUGAUUUUUUAGUAGGACCUUGGGACUAUACCAACAUUUUUUUUUGUGUUGAUUAUACAGAUAAUACCACCAAUGAGUUCAACUGUUACAAUUUUAUUCUAGUCCAAAAAAGCAACCAAUUAACCAAGUUAUUUUUCCGUCUUGGCCAGUUCCACAAUCGCAGGCUAAGAUGGUAAGUACUUCAACAUACGAUUCUGUAGCGCUAAGAACGCUUUGUGGAACAGGACCCUGGAAUCUUAUUUGAGUACCUUGCAUUGCUUUAAUGAAAUGAAGUAUUCAGUGUAAAUGUUUUGUAAAUAAAUGCUAACUUUAUUAACAACAGUCAUUUAUGGUCAUAAUCGAACAUGCGAACAAAGUAAUUGUUGUCGCCACAAUGUAUUUCAAAAAUAAAAACCUCUUAAAUAUAA
rnacentral:lncRNA from 1 species